rnacentral:tRNA from 1 species
GCGCGAUUAGCUCAGCGGGAGAGCGCUUCCCUGACACGGAAGACACGGAAGAGGUCACUGGUUCAAUCCCAGUAUCGCGCA